CUGUUGCUGGAGGCAGGAGGCAUGUUACCACUUGUGGCGGUUUUAGUUAAGAUGGUUGUUUGCCAGCUUUAGUCAACCAUAGGACUUGGCACUUCGCCUUAAUAUGGCAAUUUGCGCGUGGUGCGCAUUGGUCACCGUGGUGUGACUCGUAAACGACGUUGUGGUUGUGAGCGUCCUUUCAAGCGCUGGCUAUCCCCUGUCCUUUGUCAUGGAAAUUGUGUGGGUCUCGUGAAUGACUUCCCCUCCUGCCGUGCGUGAACGUGCCCCUCUGUCUUGGUGCCGUGGGUCUCCACUUGGGGCUGUCCGCGGGCUGCUGCUUCGCCCUGUAGUUCCCGUAAAGGAUAAUUAGUGUUUGUUUGUGUGUGUGUGUGUGUGUGUGUGUGUGUGUGGGCGUGCGUGACGUUUUUCAUUUGCUUUGAUGUUUAAAGAUGUGUCCAGGAGAAAGUGAGAGCUCUCUGUCUUUUAUUUUCAGUCUGUGUUUAUUGUUUUGUUUCGUUUGUCUUUUCUGUUCACUCCACACUAUUGGGCCCGUGCAGUGCGCGGAUCACCCUAGCCUACUGUAGCCCCUUGUUUGCCGUGCGGUGUCAAGUCUAGCCAACGUGUGCAGUGUUCUGGUGUGCGCUUGCCGUGUCCUGUAAUUUAUGCUAUUGUGUUUUAAGGGUUGCUGUGCAAUAUUACUUAGGCUGUAGGGGUUGGGAAGAUCUGGCCUUCUUGGCUCACGUGGGGGUGAAAUUGUCUUUUGUAAUUGUGUAAUAUUAUUAUUAAAAAGAGAAGUGAUU